rnacentral:rRNA from 1 species
UAGGGAAUCUUCGGCAAUGGACGAAAGUCUGACCGAGCAACGCCGCGUGAGUGAAGAAGGUUUUCGGAUCGUAAAACUCUGUUGUUAGAGAAGAACAAGGACGUUAGUAACUGAACGUCCCCUGACGGUAUCUAACCAGAAAGCCACGGCUAACUACGUGCCAGCAGCCGCGGUAAUACGUAGGUGGCAAGCGAUGUCCGGAUUUAUUGGGCGUAAAGCGAGCGCAGGCGGUUUCUUAAGUCUGAUGUGAAAGCCCCCGGCUCAACCGGGGAGGGUCAUUGGAAACUGGGAGACUUGAGUGCAGAAGAGGAGAGUGGAAUUCCAUGUGUAGCGGUGAAAUGCGUAGAUAUAUGGAGGAACACCAGUGGCGAAGGCGGCUCUCUGGUCUGUAACUGACGCUGAGGCUCGAAAGCGUGGGGAGCAAACAGG